rfam:Aedes aegypti strain Liverpool supercont1.3211 genomic scaffold, whole genome shotgun sequence.
GGCUCGGUAGUUUAGUUGGUAAAGCGCUCGUCUAGCAUACAAGAAUCCUGGGUUCAAAUGCCAGCCGAGCAC